rnacentral:rRNA from 1 species
CCUACGGGAGACAGCAGUAGGGAAUCUUUCACAAUGGGCGAAAGCCUGAUGGAGCAACGCCGCGUGCAGGAUGAAGGCCUUCGGGUUGUAAACUGCUUUUAUAAGCGAGAAAUAUGAUGGUAACUUAUGAAUAAGGAUCGGCUAACUACGUGCCAGCAGCCGCGGUCAUACGUAGGAUCCGAGCAUUAUCCGGAGUGACUGGGUGUAAAGAGUGGCGUAGGUGGCAUAAUAAGUAGCUAGUGAAAUCUGGUGGCUCAACCAUUCAGACUAUUAGCUAAACUGUUAAGCUCGAGACCGUUAGGGGUAACUGGAAUUUCUAGUGUAGGAGUGAAAUCCGUAGAUAUUAGAAGGAACACCAAUAGCGUAGGCAGGUUGCUGGGACGGUUCUGACACUAAGGCACGAAAGCGUAGGGAGCAAACGGGAUUAGAUACCCCAGUAGUC